UACGGGGGGAGCAAGCGUUGUUCGGAUUUACUGGGCGUAAAGGGCGCGUAGGCGGCCACCGCAAGUCGACUGUGAAAUCUCCGGGCUUAACCCGGAAAGGUCAGCCGAUACUGCGGGGCUAGAGUGCAGAAGGGGCAACUGGAAUUCUCGGUGUAGCGGUGAAAUGCGUAGAUAUCGAGAGGAACACCUGCGGCGAAGGCGGGUUGCUUGGCUGACACUGACGCUGAUGCGCGAAAGCUAGGGGAGCGAACGGG
rnacentral:rRNA from 1 species